AAAACGGCGUUAUUUAAAGCCACAAAAUUUUGAAUAACGCAAUUUU
rfam:Stegodyphus mimosarum contig73677, whole genome shotgun sequence.